CUUCCAGAAGAUCAUCCAGCAAUGAAUGACCUUAUCAAUUACACUGUACUAUGGAGUCCCACUUCAGAAUGCUGUGCUAAAAGAGAAGAGGAAGAGAUGGUAGGUUUUCCCUUGUCUCCUUUCUAUAGCACGAGCUCUUUCCCCCAUG
rnacentral:lncRNA from 1 species